AUUGAACGCUGGCGGCAGGCCUAACACAUGCAAGUCGAACGGUAACAGGAAGAAGCUUGCUUCUUUGCUGACGAGUGGCGGACGGGUGAGUAAUGUCUGGGAAACUGCCUGAUGGAGGGGGGUAACUACUGGAAACGGUAGCUAAUACCGCAUAACGUCGCAAGACCAAAGAGGGGGACCUUCGGGCCUCUUGCCAUCGGAUGUGCCCAGAUGGGAUUAGCUAGUAGGUGGGGUACCGGCUCACCUAGGCGACGAUCCCUAGCUGGUCUGAGAGGAUGACCAGACACACUGGAACUGAGACACGGUCCAGACUCCUACGGGAGGCAGCAGUGGGGAAUAUUGCACAAUGGGCGCAAGCCUGAUGCAGCCAUGCCGCGUGUAUGAAGAAGGCCUUCGGGUUGUAAAGUACUUUCAGCGGGGAGGAAGGGAGUAAAGUUAAUACCUUUGCUCAUUGACGUUACCCGCAGAAGAAGCACCGGCUAACUCCGUG
rnacentral:rRNA from 1 species